UGGGGGAUAUUGCACAAUGGGCGAAAGCCUGAUGCAGCGACGCCGCGUGGGGGAUGAAGGCUUUCGGGUUGUAAACCUCUUUCGCUAUCGAACAAGGCCCGCUUAGGGUGGGUUGAGGGUAGGUGGAGAAGAAGCGCCGGCUAACUACGUGCCAGCAGCCGCGGUAAUACGCAGGGCGCGAGCGUUGUCCGGAAUUAUUGGGCGUAAAGGGCUUGUAGGCGGCUUGUUGCGCCUGCUGUGAAAACGGGGGGCUUAACUUCGCGCGUGCAGUGGGUACGGGCAGGCUUGAGUGUGGUAGGGGUGACUGGAAUUCCAGGUGUAGCGGUGGAAUGCGAAGAUAUCUGGAGGAACACCGAUGGCGAAGGCAGGUCACUGGGCCAUUACUGACGCUGAGGAGCGAAAGCAUGGGUAGCGAACAGG
rnacentral:rRNA from 1 species